rnacentral:rRNA from 1 species
AUUGAACGCUGGCGGCAUGCUUUACACAUGCCAGUCGAACGGCAGCGCGGGCUUCGGCCUGGCGGCGAGUGGCGAACGGGUGAGUAAUGCAUCGGAACGUGCCCAGUAGUGGUGGAUAGCCCGGCGACAGCCGGAUUAAUACCGCAUACGACCUGAGGGUGAAAGCGGGGGACCGAAAGGCCUCGCGCCAUUGGAGCGGCCGAUGUCGGAUUAGCUAGUUGGUGGGGUAAAGGCUUACCAAGGCGACGAUCCGUAGCUGGUCUGAGAGGACGACCAGCCACACUGGAACUGAGACACGGCCCAGACUCCUACGGGAGGCAGCAGUGGGGAAUUUUGGACAAUGGGGGCAACCCUGAUCCAGCCAUGCCGCGUGCGGGAAGAAGGCCUUCGGGUUGUAAACCGCUUUUGUUCGGGAAGAAAUCCUCUGGGCUAAUACCCCGGGGGGAUGACGGUACCGGAAGAAUAAGCACCGGCUAACUACGUG